UUAAAAAUAAGCUAACUUAAGCUUUUGGGCUCAUACCUCAAAUAUAAAGGAGAUAUUACCUUUUUUUUAAA
rnacentral:tRNA from 1 species